rnacentral:tRNA from 1 species
GUCUUUGUGGUGUAGUAGUCAGCACACUCAACGCGUAACCGAGAGAUCCGUGGUUCGAUUCCCGACGAAGGCU